GAUGAACGCUAGCUACAGGCUUAACACAUGCAAGUCGAGGGGCAGCAUGAACUUAGCUUGCUAAGUUUGAUGGCGACCGGCGCACGGGUGAGUAACACGUAUCCAACCUGCCGAUGACUCGGGGAUAGCCUUUCGAAAGAAAGAUUAAUACCCGAUGGCAUCUUAAGCACACAUGUAAUUAAGAUUAAAGAUUUAUCGGUGUACGAUGGGGAUGCGUUCCAUUAGGUAGUAGGCGGGGUAACGGCCCACCUAGCCAACGAUGGAUAGGGGUUCUGAGAGGAAGGUCCCCCACAUUGGAACUGAGACACGGUCCAAACUCCUACGGGAGGCAGCAGUGAGGAAUAUUGGUCAAUGGACGAGAGUCUGAACCAGCCAAGUAGCGUGAAGGAUGAAGGUCCUACGGAUUGUAAACUUCUUUUAUAAGGGAAUAAACCCUCCACGUGUGGGAGCUUGUAUGUACCUUAUGAAUAAGCAUCGGCUAACUCCGUG
rnacentral:rRNA from 1 species